rnacentral:rRNA from 1 species
GACGAACGCUGGCGGCGUGCUUAACACAUGCCAGUCGAACGAUGAACCUCGAAAUGAUUUCUUCGGAAAGAUUUUUGAGAGGAUUAGUGGCGAACGGGUGAGUAACGCGUGAGCAACCUGCCUUAGACAAGGGGAUAGCCUCGGGAAACCGUGAUUAAUACCCUAUGAGACUCCACUUACGAGUGUAAGAGAAGUUAAAGCUAUUGCGGUCUAAGAUGGGCUCGCGUCUGAUUAGCUAGUUGGUGAGAUAAAAGCCCACCAAGGCGACGAUCAGUAACCGGCUUGAGAGAGUGAACGGUCACAUUGGAACUGAGACACGGUCCAAACUCCUACGGGAGGCAGCAGUGGGGAAUAUUGCACAAUGGGGGCAACCCUGAUGCAGCGACGCCGCGUGAGCGAUGAAGGAAUUCGUUUCGUAAAGCUCUGUCCUUGGAGAAGAUAAUGACGGUAACCAAGGAGGAAGCACCGGCUAAAUACGU